rnacentral:rRNA from 1 species
GAAUUCGAUUGUGCCAGCAGCCGCGGUAACACGUAGGAGGCAAACGUUAUCCGGAUUUACUGGGCGUAAAGCGCGUGUAGGUGGUACUGUAAGUAGGGCGUGAAAGCUCCUGGCUCAACUGGGAGAGGCCGUUCUAAACUACAGAACUAGAGGAUGGUAGAGGGAGGUGGAAUUCCAGGUGUAGCGGUGGAAUGCGCAGAUAUCUGGAGGAACACCGGUGGCGAAGGCGGCCUCCUGGACCAUUCCUGACACUCAGACGCGAAAGCUAGGGUAGCAAACGGGAUUAGAGACCCCGGCAGUCCUAGCCCUAAACGAUGUAGACUAGGCGUCGGAAGCUUAAUCGCUUUCGGUGUCCAAGCUAACGCGAUAAGUCUACCGCCUGGGGACUACGGCCGCAAGGUUAAAACUCAAAGGAAUUGACGGGUCCCCGCACAAGCAGCGGAGCGUGUGGUUUAAUUCGUUGCUACACGAAGAACCUUACCUGGGUUUGACAUAGCAGUGGUAGGGAAGCGAAAGCGGACCGACCCUUCGGGGAGCUGUUACAGGUGUUGCAUGGCUGUCGUCAGCUCGUGUCGUGAGAUGUUCGGUUAAGUCCGCUAACGAGCGCAACCCGCGUUGUGUGUUACAGGUGUCACACAAUACCGCCGGUAUUAAGUCGGAGGAAGGUGCGGAUGACGUCAAGUCAGCAUGACCUUUAUAUCCAGGGCUACACACACGCUACAAUGGUCAGCACAAUAGGUUGCCAAGUCGUGAGACGGAGCCAAUCCUCCAAAGCUGGCCUCAGUUCAGAUUGCAGGCUGCAACUCGCCUGCAUGAAGUUGGAGUUGCUAGUAACCGCAGGUCAGCUAUACGGCGGUGAAUACGUUCCCGGGGAUUGCACACACCGCCCGUCAAUCACUAGU